ACUGAGACACGGCCCAGACUCCUACGGGAGGCAGCAGUAGGGAAUCUUCCGCAAUGGACGAAAGUCUGACGGAGCAACGCCGCGUGAGUGAUGAAGGCUUUCGGGUCGUAAAACUCUGUUGUUAGGGAAGAACAAGUACAAGAGUAACUGCUUGUACCUUGACGGUACCUAACCAGAAAGCCACGGCUAACUACGUGCCAGCAGCCGCGGUAAUACGUAGGUGGCAAGCGUUAUCCGGAAUUAUUGGGCGUAAAGCGCGCGCAGGCGGUUUCUUAAGUCUGAUGUGAAAGCCCACGGCUCAACCGUGGAGGGUCAUUGGAAACUGGGGAACUUGAGUGCAGAAGAGAAAAGCGGAAUUCCACGUGUAGCGGUGAAAUGCGUAGAGAUGUGGAGGAACACCAGUGGCGAAGGCGGCUUUUUGGUCUGUAACUGACGCUGAGGCGCGAAAGCGUGGGGAGCAAACAGGAUUAGAUACCCUGGUAGUCCACGCCGUAAACGAUGAGUGCUAAGUGUUAGAGGGUUUCCGCCCUUUAGUGCUGCAGCUAACGCAUUAAGCACUCCGCCUGGGGAGUACGGUCGCAAGACUGAAACUCAAAGGA
rnacentral:rRNA from 1 species